GCCCCCAUCGUCUAGCCUGGUCUAGGACACGGGCCUUUCAAGCCCGCGACAAGGGUUCGAAUCCCUUUGGGGGUACUA
rnacentral:tRNA from 1 species